ensembl:lncRNA
GGAGGACUAGGAGAAUGAUGGAGGGAGGACUAGGAGAAUGAUGGAGGGAGGAAUAGGAGAAUGAUGGAGGGAGGACUAGGAGAAUGAUGGAGGGAGGACUAGGAGAAUGAUGGAGGGAGGACUAGGAGAAUGAUGGAGGGAGGACUAGGAGAAUGAUGGAGGGAGGACUAGGAGAAUGAUGGAGGGAGAACUAGGAGAAUGAUGGAGGGAGGACUAGGAGAAUGAUGGAGGGAGGAAUAGGAGAAUGAUGGAGGGAGGACUAGGAGAAUGAUGGAGGGAGGACUAGGAGAAUGAUGGAGGGAGGACUAGGAGAAUGAUGGAGGGAUGACUAGGAGAAUGAUGGAGGGAGAACUAGGAGAAUGAUGGAUGGAGGACUAGGAGAAUGAUGGAGGGAGAACUAGGAGAAUGAUGGAGGGAGGACUAGGAGAAUGAUGGAGGGAGAACCAGGAGAAUGAUGGAGGGAGGACUAGGAGAAUGAUGGAGGGAGAACUAGGAGGAUGAUGGAGGGAGAACUAGGAGAAUGAUGGAGGGAGGACUAGGAGAAUGAUGGAGGGAGGACUAAUAGAAUGAUGGAGGGAGGACUAGGAGAAUGAUGGAGGGAGGACUAGGAGAUUGAUGGAGGGAGGACUAGGAGAAUGAUGGAGGGAGAACUAGGAGAAUGAUGGAGGGACUAGGAGAAUGAUGGAGGGAGGACUAGGAGAUUGAUGGAGGGAGAACUAGGAGAAUGAUGGAGGGAGGACUAGGAGAAUGAUGGAGGGAGAACUAGGAGAAUGAUGGAGGGAGAACUAGGAG